rnacentral:rRNA from 1 species
CCUACGGGCGGCAGCAGUGGGGAAUAUUGGACAAUGGGGGCAACCCUGAUCCAGCCAUGCCGCGUGUGUGAAGAAGGCCCUCGGGUUGUAAAGCACUUUCAGUGAGGAAGAACGCCUGGUGGUUAAUACCCAUCAGGAAAGACAUCACUCACAGAAGAAGCACCGGCUAACUCCGUGCCAGCAGCCGCGGUAAUACGGAGGGUGCGAGCGUUAAUCGGAAUUACUGGGCGUAAAGCGCGCGUAGGUGGCUUGAUAAGCCGGUUGUGAAAGCCCCGGGCUCAACCUGGGAACGGCAUCCGGAACUGUCAAGCUAGAGUGCAGGAGAGGAAGGUAGAAUUCCCGGUGUAGCGGUGAAAUGCGUAGAGAUCGGGAGGAAUACCAGUGGCGAAGGCGGACUUCUGGACUGACACUGACACUGAGGUGCGAAAGCGUGGGUAGCAAACAGGAUUAGAUACCCUAGUAGUC